GGUGAACGCUGGCGGUGGGCCUAAUACAUGCAAGUCGAGCGGACGCACGAUAAGCUCUCGUCCCUGAUGUUAGCGACGGACGGGCGAGUAAGACGUGGAUCACCAACUUCUAUGUCUGGGAGAAUAUCGUGAAGCAGGAUCCAAUAAUGCAGCAUACGAUGUACCGGAUGGUGCAAAAGUUAAUGACGGCUUGGCCGACACUUAUAGAUGAUUCCGCGCUGCAUUAGCUAGUUGGUAAGGUAACGGCUUACCAAGGCAACGAUGCAUAGCCGACCUGAGAGGGUGAUCGGCCACACUGGAACUGAGACACGGUCCAGACUCCUACGGGAGGCAGCAGUAGGGAAUAUUCGGCAAUGGGCGCAAGCCUGACGGAGCAACGCCGCGUGAGUGAUGAAGGUCUUCGGAUCGUAAAGCUCUGUUAUUAGGGAAGAACAUAUGUGUAAGUAACUGUGGACAUCUUGACGGUACCUAAUCAGAAAGCAACGGCUAACUACGUG
rnacentral:rRNA from 1 species